GAUGAACGCUGGCGGCGUGCCUAAUACAUGCAAGUCGAGCGAAUGGAUUAAGAGCUUGCUCUUAUGAAGUUAGCGGCGGACGGGUGAGUAACACGUGGGUAACCUGCCCAUAAGACUGGGAUAACUCCGGGAAACCGGGGCUAAUACCGGAUAACAUUUUGAACCGCAUGGUUCGAAAUUGAAAGGCGGCUUCGGCUGUCACUUAUGGAUGGACCCGCGUCGCAUUAGCUAGUUGGUGAGGUAACGGCUCACCAAGGCAACGAUGCGUAGCCGACCUGAGAGGGUGAUCGGCCACACUGGGACGGAGACACGGCCCAGACUCCUACGGGAGGCAGCAGUAGGGAAUCUUCCGCAAUGGACGAAAGUCUGACGGAGCAACGCCGCGUGAGUGAUGAAGGCUUUCGGGUCGUAAAACUCUGUUGUAAGGGAAGAACACGUACGAGAGGAAAUGCUCGUACCUUGACGGUACCUUACGAGAAAGCCACGGCUAACUACGUGCCAGCCGCCGCGGUAA
rnacentral:rRNA from 1 species